AUAUAAUAUGUAAGGAUAUAGUAUAUAUCUAUAUAAUGUCUCUAGGAAUUCAAGCAGAAAGUGAACAAUUUAGGAUUGCUAUAAUGGAGCACAGUUGGACUAAAUCAUCCCAGAAGCCCCUUUCUAGCUCGGAGUUCCGGAGAUUCUUUGCUUGCUCUUCUAGGAUCGAAAUCUUCCAUACCCACAGAGAGGCAAGUGACGGUCCUGUGAAAGGCUCGCAGGGGAUCAUGGUCUGAGGAGGCCUUGAAGCCUGCUGGUCCUAGUGACAGAGACCCCUGAGAACUUGGGCACCGGACAGAACUCACUAGGGCAUCCCAGAGGCCCAAAUCAGGCAGGCCCAGAAGCCAGUCAUCGAGGCUAGUCCAAACACCACUGUGAAACAGGAAAACUUUGUUUUGGUGAACUUCCUUGUUUUUUUGCCCUCCUGUUUGCACUCUGGCACCCAGUAUCCAUUUCUCUCCUUCUUGAUCAAAACCUUUCCAGAAAAGAUCUGAAAAACUCUCCUUAAAAGAAGUGGUUGUGAUUGAUGAGGCUUAACAUGAUGCCCCUUCCAGAGGCAUGUGCAUUUGAACAAAUAUAUUAAUAAUAUAUGUAUUAAUAAUAAUAUAAAAUAAAAAUUAAAGUAUAACUUCA
rnacentral:lncRNA from 1 species